AGCAAAGUUAAUCACAAUUAGAAGGCAGAUUCAGGAUUCCAAAUUCCAUGACAGUUUGCCAAGUGAUUAAACUUGGCUUCUUCCAGGGCACACAGAGCAGGAAAGAAGACAAGCCACACAACAAACAAGAAGAGGGUGCAGGAAGUUAAUGAACCAAAUGCAAAGUCAGCAUGUGGGCACACAGCUGAGACGAGGCCCCAGUCCUGUGUGGGUCAACUCGGGCACUUACUGCUUAUUAUGUUCAAGCAGCGAAGGAACUCAGUGCUGUUAGGGAGAUCAAUCAGACUCGGGAAAUGAUUCUCAAAAUUUUCUGCCUGAGGAGACAUAAAGAAGCAUUCAGCCACUGAUUCACAUCUCCUAUUAGAAUGCAACUCUUUGAAGGAAUGAAACUACAUCUUAUCCUCAGAACCUAAAACAGUGCCAAGUACAUGACCAUCAACAUUGAUUCUCUGUCAUGAGUAAAAACACCUGACAAGAGUACUUUGAUGGAUGAAGGAGCCUAAUUAUCAUGAGACACUGUCUAUACCUCCAGUGAGUCUGGCUUCAUAGGACAAAAACUACACUAGGAAGGACAACAGACUAUGUUCUAGUCCUAAGUCACCAUAUUUAAUCUCCACUGCUUCAAGACAAACUGAAGGAAAGACUUUGCAAACAUAUAUUUUUUAUUCUUAAGGACAGCCAUUGCUCUUCUUAUUUUAAAAAUGGACAAAGUCAGACUGUGAAUGAGAGAAUCCAAGACCAGAUCUGUUUAACUAUAAAACCCCUGAACUUCAGAGUCAUCUUAGUCUUCUGGUUCCCUUUGCCUUCCCAUUCUCCUUCUCCUUAACAUUAUACAGACUUUUACCUCUAGCACCUGAUACCUACCAUACACUGCAACUAAAUUAUAAAUUUUUUUUUGAAGAUUUUAUUUAUUUAUUUGAGAGCAAGGGAGAGAGAACACGU